GCCACCAAUAGCUCAGUUGGUUAGAGCAUGGUGCUGAUAAUGACAAGGUUGCAGGUUAGAUCCCCAUAUGGGGCA
rnacentral:tRNA from 1 species